rnacentral:rRNA from 1 species
GAUGAACGCUGGCGGCGUGCCUAAUACAUGCAAGUCGAGCGAACAGAUGAGAAGCUUGCUUCUCUGAUGUUAGCGGCGGACGGGUGAGUAACACGUGGGUAACCUACCUAUAAGACUGGGAUAACUCCGGGAAACCGGGGCUAAUACCGGAUAAUAUUUUGAACCGCAUGGUUCAAUAGUGAAAGACGGUUUCGGCUGUCACUUAUAGAUGGACCCGCGCCGUAUUAGCUAGUUGGUAAGGUAACGGCUUACCAAGGCGACGAUACGUAGCCGACCUGGGAGGGUCAUCGGCCACACUGGAACUGAGACACGGUCCAGACUCCUACGGGAGGCAGCAGUAGGGAAUCUUCCGCAAUGGGCGAAAGCCUGACGGAGCAACGCCGCGUGAGUGAUGAAGGUCUUCGGAUCGUAAAACUCUGUUGUUAGGGAAGAACAAAUUUGUUAGUAACUGAACAAGUCUUGACGGUACCUAACCAGAAAGCCACGGCUAACUACGUGCCAGCCGCCGCGGUAA